UUCUCCAGUACCUCUAAGGAUUCUCGAAUGAUUGGCAAGUUAAACUAUCUCACUGUAACUCGUCCGGAUAUUACUUAUUCAGUUAGUGUACUAAGCC